UACGUAGGGGGCAAGCGUUAUCCGGAAUUACUGGGUGUAAAGGGAGCGUAGACGGUAAUGUAAGUCUGGGGUGAAAGGCGGGGGCCCAACCCCCGGACUGCUCUGGAAACUAUGUUACUAGAGUGCAGGAGAGGUAAGCGGAAUUCCUAGUGUAGCGGUGAAAUGCGUAGAUAUUAGGAGGAACACCAGUGGCGAAGGCGGCUUACUGGACUGUAACUGACGUUGAGGCUCGAAAGCGUGGGGAGCAAACAGG
rnacentral:rRNA from 1 species